GAUGAAGAACGUAGCGAAAUGCGAUAAGUAGUGUGAAUUGCAGAAUUCAGUGAAUCAUCGAAUCUUUGAACGCACAUUGCGCCCCUUGGUAUUCCAUGGGGCAUGCCUGUUCGAGCGUCAUUUGUACCUUCAAGCUUUGCUUGGUGUUGGGUGUUUGUCCCGAGGGACUCGCCUUAAAGUAAUUGGCAGCCAGUGUUUGGUUUUGAAGCGCAGCACAAGUCGCGAUUCAAGGCUACACGCCCGCUUCCACAAGCCUUUUUUCACUUUUGACCUUGGAUCAGGUAGGGAUACCCGCUGAACUUAAGCAUAUCAAUAAGCGGAGGA
rnacentral:misc_RNA from 1 species